rnacentral:rRNA from 1 species
GACGAACGCUGGCGGCGUGCUUAACACAUGCAAGUCGAACGAAGAGCGAUGGAAGCUUGCUUCUAUCAAUCUUAGUGGCGAACGGGUGAGUAACGCGUAAUCAACCUGCCUUUCAGAGGGGGACAACAGUUGGAAACGACUGCUAAUACCGCAUACGAUCUGACCUCGGCAUCGAGGAUAGAUGAAAGGUGGCCUCUACAUGUAAGCUAUCACUGAAGGAGGGGAUUGCGUCUGAUUAGCUAGUUGGAGGGGUAACGGCCCACCAAGGCGAUGAUCAGUAGCCGGUCUGAGAGGAUGAACGGCCACAUUGGGACUGAGACACGGCCCAGACUCCUACGGGAGGCAGCAGUGGGGAAUCUUCCGCAAUGGACGAAAGUCUGACGGAGCAACGCCGCGUGAGUGAUGACGGCCUUCGGGUUGUAAAGCUCUGUUAAUCGGGACGAAAGGCCUUUUUGCGAAUAGUGAGAAGGAUUGACGGUACCGGAAUAGAAAGCCACGGCUAACUACGUG